rnacentral:lncRNA from 1 species
GUCUAAAUAAUUUUUAAAAAGGGUGCUCAGAUUUAUAUAUUGAAAAUUAGUCCUAAAGAAAAAAUACAAUUUUACAAACCAUUUAUUAUUGGUGCCUCUCCAAUUUGUUCAAACCUGCAUUAUAAUGUAAUAAGCAUGUUCUAUUGUCAUAAAUUCAACCUAAAUUCAAUUUUUUUCGAAAAGAAAAUGUUCUAAAAUAAUAUUUCUUUGUAGUUAUAAUAUUAUUAUUUACAAAGCCAGCAAACUUAGUGCCGUUUGCACACUGAAAGCUCAAACUUAUUGAAUCAGUUGUGGUUUUAUCUCAAAAUGAAUCACAUUAUAGCAAAUGAAACUUAGAACUGAUUUAAUCCUAUUUAAAAGAUUGGGCUUCUUUUGAACUUUCACUAUAUGAACAACCCUAAGUAAUUAUUUUUCUAUUACUGUAUGAAUACUUUUCUAUUACUGUACUUGUUUUUAUCAUGUUGAAAAUCAACUUCAAGGAUUCAAGCUAUUGAUAGGUAGCCUAAUUUUAAUCAGACAUUCAUUGAAUAAUCAAAUCAAAUGUUUUAUUGGCCUUCAGAAAUACAUGUAUCGACAAAGUGAUGAAAAAGGAGCAUAGUAAUAAUCUCAUGAGAAUAAUCUUAAAAUUAUUUCCAUAUUAAUAAUAGUAGAUUCUGGGGAGGGGAGUGUAACUCAUUUGUUAUAUCUAAUGUUUCUUAGAUUAUGAAUAUGUCCCAUCAUGAGUUUUUCUACAUAAAUAUGUUGAAUUGGAACCGUUUUGGGUGUAAGCGUAUGGUACUUUACUGUAAGUUGUGUAAUUCUGAAUGUUUAAAUAAAUAAAUUCGACAUAGAUAUUUCUGUAUUUGAACUAUCAAAUCAAAUAAGUUUUAUUCUGCCAAAAAAAUAUUACAAAUCAAAUUACAUACCGUACAAAAAAAUCCAGAACAGAAAAAAAUACAAAUUCUCAUGAAUUAAUAAGAAUAAUGGAUUAAAUAAAUUACAUUACCCUGAUUAAACUAUCAAUAAUUUGCCAUAUUUGAAAGUUCGUCAAAAGCUCACAAUCAGGUUUAUCAACUUAAUUUUCAACUAUCAAGUAGUUAAAUUGUUUAAAUAUUGUGUAUUGUCAAAUAUUAUUCGUCAACAGCUCACAACCAGGUUUAUCAACUUGAUUUUCAACUAUCAAAGAAUAUGAAGUAGGUAAAUUGUUUAAAUAUUGAUGGAAAUUAAUUUAAAAAACUCUUAAUUGAUAUUAAUCAACUGUAUCAUGCACUGGUAGGAUGAAGCUACACUGUAAUGUGUAUCAGUCAAAUCUUUGAUCUCUUGGUAACUAGAUUAUAUUUGUUAAAAGUUAAAAUGUAUCCGGACUAUAGAAUUUGAGAUGAUAUUUUAAUUAAAGCAAUUAGAAAUUAUCAGAUUUUGUGGUGAACGGGGUAUUGUACUGUGAGACCAACUUUUGAUUUUCUUAGUGGUACUUUUAAACUAGUUUUAGCCUUUGUUGUAUGUACCAAGAAUAAUCAUUAUUGGUUUUAUUUGCAUGUAUUUUUUUAGAUAUUGAAUAAACGUAUUAGAUAAGGAA